UACGUAGGUGGCAAGCGUUGUCCGGAUUUAUUGGGUUUAAAGGGUGCGUAGGCGGUCUUUUAAGUCAGUGCUGAAAUACUCCAGCUUAACUGGAGGGGUGGCAUUGAUACUGGAAGACUUGAGUGCAGUCGAGGUAGGCGGAAUUGACGGUGUAGCGGUGAAAUGCUUAGAUAUCGUCAAGAACACCGAUAGUGAAGACAGCUUACUAGGCUGCAACUGACGCUGAGGCACGAAAGUGUGGGGAUCAAACAGG
rnacentral:rRNA from 1 species